CUCUCUCUCUCUCUCUCUCUCUCAAUCAGCUUCUCUUUCUCUCUUUCUCUCAUCUCACAAAUUUUCUCUCAACUUUCUCAAUUUCCACACCCAAACUGUCAUCUCAAAUAAGAACUUACAAAACCCACCCUAAUAACUAUUCUAGUUGGCAACAAGAACAAGGUGCCACCAUUGCUGACCAACAAGGGAGGAGGAAGAAGGGAGGACCACCGUCGAUGAAGGGAAGGAGGAAGACAGCAACGCGCCAAGGGAAGAAGAAAAUGAAAGGAAAAUAAAAGAAAGGAGGAAAGGAAAAGGAAAAGUGAAAGAAAAAGAAGGAAAAGGAAGGGAAAAAGAAAGGAAAAAAAGUAAAGGAAGGGGG
rnacentral:misc_RNA from 1 species